rnacentral:lncRNA from 1 species
AUGGAACGAAGGGAGUAGUAUUUUUUUUUCAAUUAUAAACCUUGUAUCUAUAAAUCGUAAAACUUGGCUAAUUAAAAUAAUAUUCUCUUGACGUAUCAAAUUUAAAAUUAUGACCUUUGAUAAAGUCUUUGAUCCUUUCUUUCACGAGAGAAUAUGAUCUUUUUGAUUGAUAACUUUAUCAUGAAAAAAAAGAGAGAUAACAAAAAAAUCUGGAUUUAAAUGCCUUUUUUUCCCCCUUAUUUCCUACAAAAGAGAAUUUCACAAUUUCUCAUUAAUCAUUUUCACUUCAAAAAGAGCUAAUAUUAUCCCUCCCUUUUUGGUGUGAUAAUAUUAUCCUCCUUGAAGUGAAAAAUGAUAAAUUAGAAAGGGUGAAAUUCCCUUCCGUAAGAAAUGAGAAAAAAAAACAUUUAAAUUGAGAAUUUUUUUUAUUAUUCUUUUUUUUUUCCAUGAUAAAUUUGUCAAGAAAAAAGAACGCACUCUAAAUUAACAAACAAAGAUUGAGAGUCGUGUGUGUUCUUAACAACUCAUGGAUCUCACAUAUUUUUUCAAUGACUAGAUCUUUCACCUACAAAUACAGAUCAUUCUCUUCUCGCACUCCAAAUGUUUUACACAUUAAAUUGAUUCUUUAUCUAUAAAUAUAGAUCAUUCUGGCAUCAUCACUUCUCGGUCUAGUUAGAAACUUAGAGUGGUCGAAUGGCCAACUUAUAAAUUGUAUCCAACUUCUAACCAAUACAAGCUUGCUGAUAUGGCAAAAAUCAAGAAGGUGGCUUCCAAAUCUAGAAGCCAACUUCAUCGAAACUAAUCCUCACCCACCCCACACGCAUGGUGUUUUUAAGAAGUUGGCUUUUAGAUUUGGAAGCCCUACUACGCAGUGGUUAAAAGUUGGAAGAAGCCAACUUCUACCCUUGUAGAAAUUGCCAUUACAACCAUCCUUUGUAGCUAGAAAAAGUCCAUGUACAAAUGUAGAAGUUUCGCAUUUCAAGUACGUUUGGUGACCUCAAAUCUAUGGAAUGUUACCUACAAUUUCAAUGGCCAUCAACUCAUAGACCGAUUGCAAUUCAAUGCACAAAAGACUCCACCCACUGACAAGACCAAUUUUUCCCAACUUAAAAGUCUGUUCCAAACACUGCCAUUCACACAUGUAAACGUUCUAAGCAAAACAAGCAUUUGACAGAAAGGCUUAUAUAGAAUCUAAUGUUUGAAUCAAGCUGAUCAAAUACAUUGUAAUAACUCGAACAAACCGCAAAGUAUCUUACAGUUUGAAUUAAGCUAAUCAGAUCACACUGUAAUAACUCCAAUAAGCAGCAUAGUAAUCUAAACAACUGUAAUGCAACAUAACCUUAUUUCAUACCAAGAGAGAGUUUGAAAGCACUACACUUUAAGGUUUAGAGUGAGAGCAAUUAGAGAGCCUUGAGGAUAUCAUCUGCGCUGGAGACAGUGAAUUCGCCGCCCGACUCAAUAUUCGCAGCCUUAACCUUAAGAUCCUCAACCAAAAGAGCGAACCUUCUGGACCGAAUGCCAAGCCCCUUCUCAGUGAGGUCAAGUUCGACGCCAAGGGCCUUAGUGUAAGUUCCCGAGCCAUCGGCCAAGAACUUGACAUGCUUGUUGUCAGGGUAAGUCUUCGCCCACGCCUUCAUCACAAAUGGAUCAUUCACUGCAAACAAUCGAAAACGUAUGAACGCUCAAACUGAAUGGAGAUUCUAAGCAGGGAAAACUAUCCUGCACAGUUUACUUUGAACAUUUUUUAAGGGUAAAAUAGCAUACUAAUUGAAGAUUUCAGAUAUUUGCGUUUGAAUGUAAAUAUACUUGUGCAUUGAUCCAAUUUGACCGAAAAAUAAAGCAUUCAAUCACAAUUUGUAAAUGCUCAUAAUAGAUUAGGAAAAGUACAAUUAACAAUUGCGGUAUGAGUUAAGUCUCUUAUUCAUCACUUUCAGAAAAAAGAAAAAAGUCCUAAUUCAUCCAAUUAUAAAAUCCAUUCAGCCACAUAAUUCUCGAACUCAAGCAAUGUAUAUAUCCAUUAAUCAAUUUUGAGAAACUGUCGGUCCCAUCACAAUACAGAAACCACGAAAAUUACAAAAACCCUAGGAAUAGAAUAAUUCUUUCGUCACAUUCUGCAAAAUUGCGAGAAUUGAGUAAUCUGAAAAAUGUUUUAGGAGGAGACGUACCACUAAUGCACAGGAUUUCUUCGACGCCCUUCGACUUCAAUUCAUCCGCCUUCUCAAUAAACCCUGGCACGUGCUUCAUGCUGCACACGCCACACACUCAAAAUUACGACUCAAUACUAUUAAAAGAAAUUAAAAGGAAAAAAAAGGAGGGAGUGUGGAUGACCUGCAGGUGGGAGUGAAGGCGCCGGGAACGGCGAAAAGGACGACCUUCUUGCCGGCGGCGAGGGAGUGGAUGGAGACGCUCUGGAGUUGAUCCUGAUCGUCGAAGUAUGCAAGGGUACCAUCGGGUAUGGCGUCACCUACUGCGAUCGGCGCCAUUGGUUAGUGUGUGUGCGGUAAUGCUUAGUGAGCUGAGAGAGUAGAGGGAGAAUUAGGAGAUUUAUGGCGUUAUACGUACAGGUGUGUAUAUAUAUAGUUUCUAGCAAUAAGUGGACCCAAAAUGUUUCAUAAGCGGAUUUGGAAAGAGCCUUGGCGUCCGCUUGAAUGCUAUGAUCAACCGCCUUGUUUCCAGCCGCGAAUCGUUUGGCCACAUGUGGCAAAGUGACUUGCGCGAUUAUUAAUUGGAUAAAUAUCAUGAAAACCCCUGAAGUAUAUCCGUUUAUCAAAAAUACCCAAAACUUUCAAAAUGUUCUCUAAACCCUCAAACUAUCAGAUUUUUAUCAAAUAUAUCUCGCAUCUAUUUUUCAAUCACAAAAAACGUGAUGUGGCUCGCCGAAUGCCACAAUAUAAUUUAUAUUCUACUUUUUUUAAAAAAUGCAAUGGCAAAAACGACGUCGUUUCGUACAAUAUCAUUAAAAAAAAUUCACUCCUAUCGUGUUUGAAAUUCACGCUAAUAACUUAGAAUUAGGGAUAAACACGAUAGAAUAUGAUAUGAAAUAAAGUCGUUUUUUCAUGUUAUUUUAAAAAAAAUAGAAUAUAAAUUACAUUGUGUCAUCCAGCGAACCACAUCACAUUUAUGGUAACCAAAAAUNNNNNNNNNNNNNNNNNNNNNNNNNNNNNNNNNNNNNNNNNNNNNNNNNNNNNNNNNNNNNNNNNNNNNNNNNNNNNNNNNNNNNNNNNNNNACAAUAUGUACGCGUUGGCUUUGAGUUCUUCUGGGCAUAUGAUGGCCACGCUGAGAUGUCCUAAUGUCUUAAUGCUGACCAUUUCCUAUAUUAAUUUUCUUCGUCUUAAUCCAUACUUUUACGUAUAUUUGAACUUUACCCGAUCAUAUUAUGAUCUAUGUUUGCUUGAAAUCAUAUAAUAAUACAAGAUGAAAUUAACAAUCGCAAAAGUCUAAAAAAUAAAAAAAAAAAAUAGUCAAUCUCAUAAUUGUUCACAUUCUUGCAUCAGUCAUCGUUUCCAAAAAGUAAACGGUGAUCACAUGCUUUCGUUAAUCAUCGUUUCAAAAAAGUAAUGACACAUUAAAUAUUAUCAAGUAGUUUGUACAUGGCCAAUUAAUAUAAUAAGAAAAUGAAAUAAAAACAAAAAUGUAUACUUUUUCUCGGGUUAUAUAAAACAACUCGCAAGUACCUCUAGGCGAAAUACACAAUGAUCAUCAACAUUACAUGGUACAGAAUAAGAUCUCUUUGGCAAUCAAUCAUUACAGAUUGACUGCCUAAGAUUAAUCCACCUAUCUAUAAACUAUACUAGAAUGUCGACUAAACAAAUAAAGCUAGCAGCCGAAAAACUUAAUGUUAAUCGGUCAAAGAAACAACAUGCUCCGCUCCAAUGUCCUUGAACUUUAACCAUUGCCCUUGACCUCUCGUCAAUACAGAGUGAGACUUUCCAAAUUAGUUGCCUAAGCCUCCUCCGUCAAAGCAUGGCUUGAAAAAUCGGUGUGACGUUUGCAGCGGGAUAAAUGAUGAGUUGGUUGUGAGUGAAUGUUAGGUCAAUGAAAAUGCACUUCCAAAACGUGUGAAUGAGAUGACCAUCUGUAGCUUUUAUAGGUUAUGUCGUGGUCAGUUUGCACCAUUUCCUACUUCCAGAAGCUUUCUACAACCGCUACAAUGCACCUCCAAAAACUAUUAGUCGACCAACUGUGAAUAUUGGUUGAAAAGAUCAUAGGUCCUGAAAAAUAGGAACAAAUUGCUCAUUACUUUGGACUAUGAUUAACCACCACCUCUCCACUUAUUAAAAAUAGGGUAAAUGUCACUUUAUGUCCCAUUGUUUGACCGAAUUAUCGAUUAUGUCCCAACUUUUCGAUAAUAUCNAAUUGAUACCCAACCUACCAACAUUUUUUUAAUUGUGUCCCGUUAAAAUUUUCCUGCUCCCGGAAGAUGAUGUGGAACGCCGAAAAUUUAUUACGUGGUACCUAUGUGGCACAAAACAUAAUACCAAAUUAAAAAUCCCCAAGUCAUAUAAAAUAACUCUCGCACUCUUGGUUUAAAAAAAANAAAAACUCUCGCACUCUUCAGUGCUUGAAGAACUCUCGAAUCACUUGAAGAAGUUAUUGGAAAUUAGAACAAAAAUCCCAAAUCAUUCCAGUUGAUCGGUGCUUAAAGAACUCUCUUCCAGAUAUUGCAGCUGCAACAUUCGCGAAGAUUUGAAUCGUCUCUGGCCGUCAAUAAUCUUCCAGAUAUCACAGUUUAAGCAUUCACAAUUAUUGUAUCUUUGCUAGCUACUUCAAUUCAAAACAGGUAUCAACUACCAUUUUUAGCAAAUUCGAACAUUGACCUACUUCCCCUCCCCAAGACGAGAAUAACAAUUUUUGAUGAAAAGAAUUUGGUUGAGGAAUUUGGUCUCAAGCUGGCAAGAAUAAAACUUGUUGAUAUAAAAAGAUAAACAAAAGUUUAGCCAUUUUUAACGAGAUUAGAAGGUCAAAAUUUCACAUAAUUCUGUAAUUCUGCUUAGAAAUCAAAUAGAAGAAAAUGAUCCAAGACUAGCAAACACUAAAAUAUAAAUCAAAACAGCUGAAAUUGCUACAAUUUGAAAUGAUCGUUGGCCCCCUCUUCUUUCCAAAGCCAACAACGGUGGUGACGAAACGGCGGUUGUACUGCAUCCGCUUGUCAGCGUGGCCGUGGGGCUUCUUUUUCUUAUCCUGCUUGGCGACCUUGGAAGUUUGUCCUCUCACCUUUCUGGCACGAGCCAACGAUCCGUGUACCUUUACCUAUGAUUUAGCUCGAAUUUUCUCCAAUCGAGAGAGAUUUCUCUGUCUUUGGUGUGAAUGGUUUCGGCCAUACUCUCAAGCUGGCAAGAAAAAGAAUUCUCACAAUGGCUCCGUCUUUGGCGUGGUAUUAUGUUUUGUGCCACGUAGGUAACUAUUUUUUUUUUAAAGUUUAAUUAUGCUGGCAAUUUCAAGUGGAUAAAUAAAUUCACGUAAUAAAUUCCACAUUAUCUUCCGGGCGCCGAAAAAUUUUAACGGGACACAACUAAAAAAAUAUUGGUAGGUUGCGUACCAAUUAAAUAUUAUCGAAAAGUUGGGACAUAAUCGAUAAUUCGGCCAAAUGAUGGAACAUAAAGUGACAUUUACCCUUAAAAAUAUGGUCAACUAUGUGCAUGUGUUAGCCCAGCGAUCGGAUUUUAAUGCCCUAUAUAUAUAAAAAAUGAUCAGUUGUAUAAAAAGUGACAAUGGUUAAGAAUGAAAAUUACAAUUCUUAUUAAAAAAUUACCGUUGUUUCCCUUGUAUUGAUUUACUUUAUAUAUACAAGACAAUUCCAAUAAAGUAUUUUAUAAAUGAAAAGUGUAGGUUCUUACAAAUACAAGCGAAUGAGUCAGAUACAAAUUUGACUUUAUCGAUCAAAAGAUCUGAGUGCAUUAUGAGCCCGAGUGCACGAUAGACCGACUCUCAGUGGCAGAGCUACCUAGGAGCAAGGGACUACAACUACAUCCCAAAAAAUAAUUUUUUACUAGUAUUAAUAAUAGGGUAAUUAUAUUCACAUCCCCCAUUUUAUUCACUAUAGCCACUCAAAAUAAAAUAAUAAUAAAAAUAAUUACAAUUUUACUAUUUUACCAUAUAAUUGAUAACUUCAAAUUGAAUAUGAUUCUUUUUAUAAUCAAAUUAAAUCCCUAAUUUUAUAUAUCCCUCAAUCACACGCAAGACACAAUUCUUAAAUAUUGAUCCACUGAUCGGAUCCAUCAAUGGAUGUGAGGAAAUAAAGGCCGGACUUCUGCAUCAGUAAGCUCUCUUGACUAUGAAACUUUCCUACAAAAUUAGCCCUUCCACCUAUGCACUUGUAUUGAAAUCGGUGUCGUCAAAUAGCUUGACAAUACUACUCAAAAUGUUGCACAUCAAAGUGUUUGAAAUCGGGCUUCCUACAUUUUAGGCAUUUUUUUAUAAUAUCAAAAUACAAACAUAAUUUCAACAACAACAACAACAGCAACAAACAACCUCAUGGAUUAUAUAAUUUCAAUAUAUUACAAACUAGUUUCAAUACAUUACAAAAAAAAAAUUGUGGCAUUUUCGUACAUUUUAGGUAUUUUUUUAUUAAAAUACAAGUAUAAUAGUAAUAAUAAAGAACAACAUUUUCAUAGAUUCUAUCAUUUCAAUACAUUGGAAACUAGUUUCAAUACAUUACAAUUUUUUUGGGAGCAUUCCGUAUAUUUUGGGCAUUUUUUAUUAAAAGACAAGCACAAUAAUUAAUAGUAAUAACAAUGAACAAUAUUUUCAUAAAUUAUAGUAUAAUUUUAAAUAACACAAUUAACCUUAAAUUAAAUCUAUAUGAGGGAAUAUAACAAGAAAAUCAUUUUUUGUAAAAUAAGAUUCUUUUAUAAUUAGAAAUAGAUAUAUAUAUAUAUAUAUACAUAUAUAUAUAUAUAUAUAUAUAUAUAGGAGGGAGGUCUACAGUGAAAAACAUUUCUUAAAAUACAAAUAUAAACGUUUUUUAAGUACGAAUUUUAUCCAACAAGGUUACGAAUUCAUCCAACAUGGUUACGAAUUGUGAAAAAUAAUUUUUUGUUACCUUUGGGAUUCGAGCCCAGGACCACGAAUUCAUCCAAAAGGGUUAUGAAUCAACCGUAGAUUUUGAUGAUCUAAGGGCUGAAAAUCAUUUAUAUUUUAUACACUCUUAUUUUAUUAUUCUACUUUAUUAUAUAUAUAUAUAUAUAUAUAUCAUUUUUAAUUCUGUAAUUAUUAACUAGAGUUUAUUCCAUUUAAUUAGACUAAUAUAAUUAUCUUUCAUCAUUUAGUUUUACUUUUAUUAACGAAUAGUAGGUUGAUAAAUUCGUAACUCUAAAAUUUUUUAUUUUUUGAAAUAAAGUUUAAGUAUAUUUAUAAUAUUAUAAUAAAUUUUAUUUUUAUAAAUAAUAUUAUUAAAAUAAUUGAUAUAAGAAUGAAAUAUAGUGACAAACGAGCUUUCAAUCAUAGACCUCAAUAUUCACAGAAACGAGUUCGCACAGUUUAAAUGUCUCACUAAGAACACACAAUAGAAAAAACAAACACACGUGCGCGACUACAAACCACACACCAUCAACAAAAGAAUCCAAUAGUUAUUAACUAUAAUCCUUAAAAUACGUCCAAGAUUGAAAUGUAAAAUUGCUAUUUUGCAGAGACUCAACAAUCAAGUAUCUUGAUGAAGUCACGAAUCUCGCACACACUCUAUUUGAGCUGCUCUCGGAAGCUCUUGGGCUCGAACAAGGUUGCCUAGGAGCCUUGAAAUGUGGCCGAGGACGCACGUUCGUCGGCCAGUACUACCCCGCGUGCCCCGAGCCGGAGCUCACGAUGGGCAUGACCAACCACACCGAUCCUUGUUUCCUAACUAUUCUUCUCCAAGAUCAUAUCGGAGGCCUCCAAGCUCUGCACAAUAGUCAGUACAUAAAUGUGGAGCCUCUGCCUGCUAGCUUCGUCGUCAACAUUGGAGAUAUGUUGCAGGUCUAUGUCUCCGUCUCAUAAAAAUAUGCAUAGUUUUUUUUUUUUUUUCAUAUGUCCCAUAAAUACAUGCAUACUCCAUUUAUAGUAAUAAUUCUCCCACUAAACAUCACAAUCAAUAUGGGACCAUUUCUCCACUCACACUAUACCUUUUCAGGAUUUCUUAAAAUCCGUGUCGUCCUAUACUAUGCAUGUUUUUAUAGGACGGAAUGAGUGUACCUUAUUCAAUUUUAUUUUUUGUAGAGAUUCUGACACCUAUGAAUGUUAUGAAUGAUUUGCAGAUUGUGUCAAAUGAUGAGUUCAUAAGCCCAAUUCAUAGAGUUCAUGCAAAUCGGGCCGGGCCAAGAAUCUCGAUUGCGGGCUUUUUCACCGGUGAUGCUAUUUCAGGGACAAUAUACGGCCCGAUCAAAGAGUUGGUAUCAAAGAACAAUGGGGCUCGAUACAAAGAGUUCACAGUGGGAGAGUACAUGUCCAAGUUUUUAGAGCGGCCAAUUGAUAAAUCUGGUCUUGAUGAAUGCAGAUUGCAAGAUGAAGACAAUGUCUAAAUUAUACUAUAUAUUUAUCUAUUGUGGUGAUACGUUGUGAUUUACUCUUAAUUACUUCAAUAAUGAUAAUAAUGUAAUAAUAAUGGAAGAUUUGUUCGAUAGAUCACUCUUUCAGUCAAAUGUAAUAAUAAUCAUGAUAAUGUAAUAAUACAUGAUUUCCUUUGUAAGAGGUCUUUAUUGGGUUCAAUUUCAUCUGCGGAUAGUACUUUUUAGGUCAGAUUAAGUUUUAAUUUCACUAGCAGUCAAACUCAAGUGAAAAUUAUAAUUAAAUAAUAAAAAUUACAAUUUUCACCAAAGUUCGUAUAUUUUUUUUUGAUCAUGACAUCUUUACCCAAUACCAAAAAUAUGUAUGCAUGGGCAAUGGCACCUCAUUGCUACAUCGACUAUUUCCUUAAUUCAAUUUUUUUUCUCCAACAAUACUUUCUUAAAUUAAUUAUUCAUGACCCUCGCUAUCAAGUUACUCCCACAUGCAUCUUCUUUUGAUCUUAUUAUUUAAUAAAUUUUUUCUUAAUCUUUUAUUGACAUAAAAUUAAAUUUUAGUAAUAUUUAAUUAACAUAAAUAAUUUUAUAAAUCAAAUAUCCGAUAUAUAAUUAAAAAAAAAUUAUUGAGACCGGACUAUAAAUGUAGAAGAUAAAUAUUUGUCAUAAAAAUGAAAUUUAUUGAAAACUCAAGUAUGAUACCAAUGUUUGCUUCUCAAAACAUCAAUUAAAAUAACUAUUUAAAGAUUAAAAACAAAUCAAGCUUAAAAAAUGAAUCAAAAUCCUAAAAGAAUUGCGAAAAAAAAAACUAAAGAACUAAUUGGGCCGAAACAGGCCUGAGUGAUAGAAUUUGGGCUUAAAAGGUUAUACGUUAGGAUAAAGCAAUGGGUCUUAUUCUUCUCAUCGUUUCGCUUCUGAAAACAUUUUAUAAUGAUGAUUUCGAGUUCGGUGUUGAAAGUUGCGCUAAUUUUGGAUUAACUUUACUUGAUAUACAAUCAUCAAUGUUAAAUGACUAUACUUUAUAUAAUUAAAUCGAUAUAUUUAUUUUUAAAAACUAUAAAAUACUUAACGUAUCAUAAAUUUAACUUAAUAUUACAAAGAAUUCAAAAUCAUUCCUGUAACGAUUACUACCCCUUUUCAAUCUAAUAUAGGAGUAUUUAGUUGACUGUAUUAUUGAAUCCAAGCAUAAUUUCUUUUUAUAAUAGUAAAAACUUUAAUUAAUCUAAUUAUCAAUUACUUGGCCGGUCUAUGGCGUGACGCGUGCAAGUUCAUUAAUUUUUCCUUCUCGGCGUUCUCGCACCGAGUCUUCCACCCUCCCCAGACGUAUAUAUCUUUAAAUAAAACUACAAUCAUCUAAAUAUUUUAACCAUUUUCUGCUCAACAAUUCUGAAAAUCCCCAAAAUUAAGAAAUGCAGGAAGACGAUCGCGUGAAGGAGCUCCAGGCUUUCGAGGCCACAAAAGCCGGCGUGAAAGGGCUAAUCGACGCCGGCAUCCAGAAGGUUCCGAGAAUGUUCAUCAGGCCAGCCGAUGAGCUCGUGGAGGAGCUCAACUGCGCGCGCUCGGCUCUGCAAGUUCCGGUGAUAGACCUCGGCCGGAUCGGAGAAGGCGAUCAUCGCGAGAAGGUUGUCGGCGAGGUGAGGAGGGCGUCGAAGGAGCUCGGGAUCUUCCAGAUCGUGAAUCACGGUGUGGCUGUGGAGGUUAUGGAAGGGAUGCUCGACGGCGUGAGGAAGUUUCACGAGCAAGAUGCGGAGGUGAAGAAGCAGUUCCACUCGCGCGAGUCUAUGCAGAAGGUCAAGUAUGCGAGCAACAUCGAUCUGUACCGGUCGCGCGCCGCGAAUUGGAGGGAUUCGUUGACGAUCUCGCUCAUGGGCUCCGAUCGUCUUCCGCCGGAGGAGUUGCCGGAGAUUUGCAGGUUGGUGUGAUUAUCAUCUUGCUUUGUUUUUUUAAUUCAAUUUUUGUGAUUAAUUAAUCGUGAGUUUUGUUUGGAUGAGAUUUGUGAAAGGAAACGAAAGUGAGUACAAAAAUAGAAAAGUUUAGAGAAAAUAAAAUUAUAAUUAAAACAUAACGCCAAUGAGUCGAGCAAGAUAAGUAUUCUAAUUUUGUUUUAGUCUCAACUUAACAAAAGAAAAUAAAUUAAAUUCAUUUCCUUAAUUGGCGUGCCAUAUUAUUAGUUUAUCUUUAAUUACUUUUCCACAAUUCUCUUCUAAUUUAUUUUAUCUUUAUUUUUUUUAAUUACUCUCUCUAUCUCUUAAUUUAUUUAGUUACUUUAUCUUCAUUUAUUAUAUUUAUAUUUUCUUAAUUUACAUGUUUCAUUUUUUUGGCAUCUUCUUUCUUAUAUUUUGGCUUUCAAUUUUUUUUUUCUAAUUAUUUACAGUCUAGGAAACUAGGUGGACUACCGAUUAGAAUUUAUAAUCGUUUUAGCAUUUAAAUUUUAAAUAAAUUAUGUUUUAAUUAAAAAUUGAUUUUUAGGAGUAUUAUUCCAUAACUAGGAUUUAAGUUCAAUGAGCACAUAUAUCAUAUCCAUUGCAACAAGAUUUGCUGACUAUUUGAUCUUUAAUAUGCAAAUAUUUUCUUUAUUGUUCAUGAGCCAAGUUUAAAAAUUGGAAACUUCAUAAUUUUCUUAUUCAAACCACAUUUCUUAAUUUGGACAUGAUCUUUAUUUGCCAUUCUAUUAUACCACAAAAUAAGUUCGCAUUUUCUCCAGAAAUCUUUAGUUGGAGGCAUAUGAUACAAACUCAUAAUACAAAUGCUACACUUGCAUUACAAACCGCAUAAUUCUUAAAAUGUAUAAUUUCUACUUUUCAGGGACUCAACAAUCAAGUAUCUUGAUGAAGUCACGAGCCUUGGAGAAACUCUAUUUGAGCUACUCUCCGAAGCUCUUGGCCUCAAACGAGGUUACCUAGGAGCCCUGAAAUGUGGCCAAGGACGCACUUUCAUUGGCCACUACUACCCUCCGUGCCCUGAGCCGGAGCUCACGAUGGGCACGGCCAGUCACACCGACCCUUCUUUCCUAACAAUUCUUCUACAAGAUCAAAUCGGAGGCCUCCAAGCUUUGCACAAUAAUCAGUACAUAAAUGUGGAGCCUCUGCCUGGUAGCUUGGUUGUCAACAUUGGAGAUAUGUUGCAGGUCUAUGUCAAUGAAAUUCAUUUGCUCAAAUAACUUAUUUAUUUUCAUAGGAGCUAAUUGUUAAAAUAUGACCGUAAUUUCAGUGUUUUCAGAAAGAGGACUAUAUGGAACGGAACUUCAAAAUGAGGACUAUGGCUAUAGUCCUCAUUUUGAUGUGUUAAAUAGGAGUAUAAAUAUAAAAAUGGAAUCUAUAGUCCUCAUUUUCAAAUUUCGUAACAUAUAGUCUUCUUUCUUAAAACACUGAAAGUUUGUUUCAACAAUUGGCUAUUUUAUAGGGAUAUAUCUUGACAUCUUUUUUUUUUUUUUUUCUUUCUUUAAUUUGGGUAUGAAUGUUUUGCAGAUUGUGACAAAUGAUGAGUUCAUAAGCCCGGAUCAUAGAGUUGUAGCCAAUCGGGCCGGGCCAAGAAUCUCGGUUGCGGGCUUGUUCACGGGCGAUGCUCUUUCUGGGACGAUAUACGGCCCGAUCAAAGAGCUGAUAUCGGAAAACAAUCGCGCAAGAUACAAAGAGUUGACAGUGAGAGACUACAUUUCAAAGUUUUUUACGCGGCCAAUUGAUAAAUCUGGUCUUGAUGAGUUCAGGUUAUUACAAGAUGAAGACAAUGUCCAAAUUUUAUCUCUUUGUGCUGACACUUUGUGAUUUACUCUUAGUUUCCCGUGGAUUAAAUCAAUAAUGACAAUGUAAUAAUGACUGUAAACACAAAUUUUAUGCAUUUAACUUAAUAAAGAUAAAAUUGAGUACAAUUUCAAUAUUGUAUAGAUCAAAUGUAUGUUUGUAGCUGAUUGCUCUGGAUUUUUUUUCUUUUCGAGUUAUCCUCGAAUAGGCUUUGAGUAGUUCUUGAGAUUUGUUGGAGAAAUAUCUCUGAAAUUUUUUCGAGUUUUAUAACGCUGAUGCGGAUGACAUGUGCCUUGAUUUUCGAAUCGAAUGUUGAGUUUUAUAACGUUGAUGUAGAAGGGCUUGUUUUUAAAUCGUACGUUUAACUUGAUUUGAGUUUUGAGCUAUUUUCAUGGAGAAUGUCUUGAACCAUAAUAAGACUAUUGUAAUUUUUGAGUGAUCAUAUAAACUAGCUAGUAAUUAAAGCAUUGUACAACUACAUAAGCUUGAGCACUGAUAUAUGCUUCAUCCAUUACAUUUACCAUCUUCACACCUUGUAAUAAUCAAGAGCUCGAUAAUCCUCUAGUGAAGUAUUCAAGAUAUUCAUUAGAUAAUCACCCAUCACAACCAUUUUGUAAACUGCUGGAUUUUCUUUUUUAAUCAGCUCCUCAAUAGGGCCAGAAAUCUUGGCCGUGUUAUAUAAAGGUCCAGAGAAAAAACAUGCCACUGAAAUUCUUGGUCCCUUGCGAUUUGCUAUCGCUCUAUGCGCAUUGCUUCUGAAUUUCCCAUUUGACACCAACUGAUCCAAAACAAAUACAGAAAAAAAUUACUAUUUUUUUUUGCCCAUCAAGCGCUAUCUAGUAGUGUUGGAUCAUCUAUCUCAUACUUUUUCGUGUCUCACUAUUAAAUUUAUAUUUUUAAUACUUCAUCCGUCCAAUAAGAAAAUAUCACUUUUUCUAUCACACAUUAUAAUUUUUUUUUAAAAAGUAGUGAGUCUUUUUCUUCACUCAACAUAUUAUCUACCAAAUAUUUCUUAAAACUCAUGUCACCUCCACGCGAUACGCACUUAUGGGACGGAGAGAGUAUGGCGAACCAUAAUUAAAAACUAUUACUAAAAGUUUAUUGUAAUAUACUCUAAGGCUACGUUUACUUUGAUAGAUAAAUUUAUCAAUGGAAAAGGCUGAAUAACAAAAAUUUAUGCAUUUAAAUAUCAUUUUUCGUCCUACAUUUUACAUUUCACAAUUUUUCUUUCUUCAUUUUCACUUCAAUGAUAGAUAAUAUUAUCCCACAAAGAAAAGAAAUGAGAUAUUUAAAUGUAUAAAUUUUUGUUAUUCAUCAUUUCCCAUGGAUAAAUUUAUCCAUCAAAGUAAACGCAACCUAAUAGAAUAAUCAGUUAUUAAGUAAAAAAUCGAAAAAUAAAUUCUAAAUUUAAGUGGUAGGGUAGAGCGAUGAAAACAUAAGUUUGGAUUGAUUUUUAUAAAUACCUGAAGAAGAUCACCAAUGUUUACGACUAAAGCUCCUUGAACAGGUUGAAUAUCAAUCCAUCGGCCUUGACAUAAAGCCUGCAGGCCGCUAACAACUUGGUUUUGCAGAAGAAUUGUGAGGAAUCCUGCGUCGGAAUGCUUCGUCGAGCCGAUUGCGAGCUCAGGCUCAGGGCAUGGUGGGUAGUAAUGGCAGUGGAGACGAUGCCCCUCUGAACAUUCCAUGUUUCCCAAAAACUCUGUUUCUAGUCCCAGAGCUUCAGACAAUACCCCCAACAGAAUAUUUCCCAAAUUUUCGACAUGUUUUGAGUAUUCAACAGUUGAAUCUCUACGAAUUGUGUACAUGUAAGUAGGUAUAGUAUAGUCAGUAAACGCCAACGACAUAUAUAUAUAAAUAUACACGAAGAUGGAUCACAAAAACUCCUGUGCAACCAGCUUUAUAAUGAUACUUCUUCAACAUACAAAUGAUACUUUAUAAUGAUAAAAUAUUAUUUGUACGUUGAAGUAAUAUCAUUGUGAAGCUGAUUUCACAGUGAAAUCGGUUUCACAGGAAACCACCUCAAGAUCAAAAGACUGGCAUCUGUAUAAAUGAUUUUCGGACAAAUACUAUGAAUUUUGGAUCUUAAAUAUUAACCCAAGUCUAAACUCCAUUCAACUCUAGAACCCAUUUGAUAUUUUGACUCGUUCAAUGAUAGUAUUCCAUCCGUUCUAUUAUAAGUGACUUAUUUCUUUUGAACACGAUUAUUUAAAAAGGUAUUAGUUAGAUUAUUAAGUAGUGUGUUUUAAAGUCGAAAGUCAUGUGAUGUGGAUCUCAAAUAUCCAUAAAGAAGCAUGAUAUUUGAAGUGAGAUAGUUCAAAAACAAAAAUAAGACACUUAAAGUGGGACAAAUGGAAUAAGAGCAUAUCCACAGUCGCGAGCCGGCAUCUUCGGCUCACAGGUGGGUCCCUCCAUUUGAGCCAACUGAGCUCUGCUGGGUGCGAGAUCCACCUCACAGCCCGGCUCAUUCCCAAUAAUGCCCCUAGUAGUGUUUGCACACGCCUCUCUUUCCCAUUGUUUGCACCGAGCUCGCGGACAAGAACCACGGUGUGUACCCCUAGCCCAACAGCGGUAUAGGGCUUCACUACUUUAUACUACCCCUUUCAUAUAUGUAUAUAUAUAGAGAGAGAGAAUGGUUAAACAGAGAAUGCUAAAUAUUUAGAGAAUAGCAAAUUCGUGAAAUAAAAACGUACAGAUCAACAAUUUUUACGAACAAAUCAAUGUACCGCAUGAACAACAAUUUGUCCUGGAUUCAAAUCCUGCUGGUGGCGAGUUUUUCAAUUUUUUUACUAAAUACGUCUGUUCGUUUGUUAUGUUGAUCUGUUCGUAACAUAUAUAGACUUGUUCAAAAUGAAGUAUAUAAUAAUUCUCUGUUUAACUUGAACC